GGUUGCGAUCAUACCAGCACUAAUGCACCGGAUCCCAUCAGAACACCACAGUGAAACGUGCUAGGGCGUGAGUAGUACUAUUAUGGGUGACCCCCUGGUAAGUUCUCGUGUUGCACCCC